GAUGAAGAACGUAGCGAAAUGCGAUACGUAAUGUGAAUUGCAAAUUCAGUGAAUCAUCGAGUCUUUGAACGCACAUUGCGCCCCCUGGUAUUCCGGGGGGCAUGCCUGUCCGAGCGUCAUUGCUGCCCUCAAGCACGGCUUGUGUGUUGGGCCCGUCCUCCGAUCCCGGGGGACGGGCCCGAAAGGCAGCGGCGGCACCGCGUCCGGUCCUCGAGCGUAUGGGGCUUUGUCACCCGCUCUGUAGGCCCGGCCGGCGCUUGCCGAUCAACCCAAAUUUUUUAUCCAGGUUGACCUCGGAUCAGGUAGGGAUACCCGCUGAACUUAAGCAUAUCAAUAAGCGGAGGA
rnacentral:misc_RNA from 1 species